rnacentral:rRNA from 1 species
UACGUAGGUCCCGAGCGUUGUCCGGGUUUAUUGGGCGUAAAGCGAGCGCAGGUGGCUUAUUAAGUCUGGUGUAAAAGGCAGUGGCUCAACCAUUGUAUGCAUUGGAAACUGGUAGACUUGAGUGCAGGAGAGGAGAGUGGAAUUCCAUGUGUAGCGGUGAAAUGCGUAGAUAUAUGGAGGAACACCGGUGGCGAAAGCGGCUCUCUGGCCUGUAACUGACACUGAGGCUCGAAAGCGUGGGGAGCAAACAGG